rnacentral:tRNA from 1 species
UAUAAAGUAAGCUAAAUCAAGCUAAUAGGUUCAUACCCCAUCAAUGGAAAAUUCCCUUUAUUA